rnacentral:lncRNA from 1 species
AUAAAAGAUGAAGAGCUAUAAUCCAAAAGGUCCAAAAAGUAUAGCCAAAUCCGUGAAAUGAAUCAGAGCUUUGCAUGAGGGAGAUACAUUCCUUAAUUUAUAAUAAUUUCUAUCAUUUUGUAACAGCAAAUUUUAAUAACACAAAAAAUCUGUAUUUUCAUGCCAGUACCGAAGUACUGGCUACUGGGCUGGGGAUACCCUCGGGGACUAAUAGUCCACCAGCAGAGGCAUCGACCCAGUGGUAAUAAUAAAAUUAACGGUACCAAUUUUCUUGCACCAGAUGCGCAUUUCGACAAUACAUGUCUCUUCAGUGAUGCUUGUGGCCAAAAUAUUUGAAAUCCAAAGC